GGGCUUUGAGCAUCUGUAAGAUAUUUGUUGGAAGGUUUUGUCUGGUCCUUCUUACUGAUGUGUUGCUCUUCUUCAUGGCUCGUGAAAACUAUUAGAGUCAUCCAAGCUGUUUUUGGUCGCUUCGAAGAGAGGGGAGACUCUGAGCUACCUGGGAAGGAGAUGCGUUUGGAGGUUGCAGGAGAAUCUGUCAGCUCCUUCUCUGCUUGGCUGGACGAUGCUAAAAGAGAAAGUAGAAGAUGCAAUACAGCAGCCAGACCAGGCCAGCUCCCAGAGGGUUUGUGUUGGGUGAAAAUCAACAUUCAUUUAUAGCACAGGAUUUUCUUAAAACACCAAAAUUCAAGAAGGAUGAACAUCCGGACUGAUUUAUCAAGCAUGUUGGAAAAGAAGCAAGUGUUUCUUUCUCCCCCAUGAAUUUCUGUCACUACUUUAACAACUGAACAUUAGGAAAAGAAGGCAAAGAAAUGGAAUAAAAGGCUCUGG
rnacentral:lncRNA from 10 species